UUCAUAGAAUCAAAAAAUGAUUGAACUGGAAUGGACCUUAACCUGUUCCAACCUGCUGCUGUGGGCUGGUUGCCACCCACCGCAUCAGGUGGCCCAAGGCUCCAUCCAACCUGGCCUAGAGCACCUGAAGGGAUGGAGCACCCACAGCUUCUUUAACCUGUUCCAGAGCCUCUCUUAGAACUCACUGUUGCAAUGAGAAAUCUCACCAGCCACAAUGACUUGUCACCAGCCCUGUCCUGAAAAUCCCAGUAGGAACCUGCGUGAGCAGCACAACAGCAUUGGUGAUGAGCACUGUGCCUAGCAGAGGCUGUAGCAUCUCUCACUAUCCUACCCCCAUGAGAAUAUGCAGUGCUGCUCUGCUUCCCUUUAUUAUCUUUUUGCUGAUUGCUGCUAAUGGUAAUUUUAGUUUGCACUGAGUCACAGCUAGACUGGUAUCCUGUGAUGUUUACAGUCUCCUGCAUUGUAUAUUUGGAAAUGCUAAUAAAAAUAAUUUCUGAAAAGGAGAAACGAAUUGCUAUUCAAACUGCUUACAGAGCAUGAAGAAAAAACAUCAUCUUGCCAAGAUUAGCUGUGGAUCUCUAACAUUAUCCUUUAAUUAUUAUUGAGCAUCAUUGUCACAGGCUCUCACUGGAGAAAAUCCAUCUGAGACUCCCAAUUUCCCAAGCCACUGUUUAGAUUUGAAGUUUCACCAAAGGCAGGAUUUGAAUCUGUCCCCAAUACUGAAUGUGAUCACUGCAUUAAUUAAAAUGUAACAUGUCAUACAAGUCAUUUUAAACCUGGGAGUGAACUCCUUUUACCUUUCCUGUGCACAAGGAUGCACUCUGCUGUCACAGACAAGGCUUUCACAACUGUUUUGUACAGAAAUUGAUGGCAUUUUGCAGCGUUAUACUUUAUACUUGGAAUGAAAUAGAGGCAGGAUAUCAUUCCACAUCCAUCAAGAAGAACGGCUCAGAAGUCAGAGUUUUAGGUUAAGGAUAAACCAAAGGGACUUUUUAUCAGCUGUUGACACUCCUGCUUGUGUUCAGACCUUUGAGCUUUUCCAAAUUAUGGCAAACCUGCAAGGAUGACUAAUGGCUACAGCAGAGUUCAGAUGCCAUACUGCAUUAUGGAUUCUAGAUGUACAACAAAGUCAUUGCCCUCUGACGGUUUUAUGCUGGAGAAAUCCUGCUGCAGCCACAAAAGGAAUUAGGGCAUUUACAGCUCUUUGCAGCAGUUUGAGAUUGGAGUAGUGUCAAAGGGCAAUGAUUUCCUCUGAAACAGCUGAAAAACGGCACUUAAAAACACAAUGCAGAGUGCUUAGGCUCAUUUAGUCUGAUACUCAGAGGACAACAUGAACAUACAAACUAUUAUAAUUCAUGUGCAACAGGGAACACAGUUACACCUGUCUAGGCAAAUCUGGCAAAGUAUACGCAAGUGUAACAUGAGCAAGCAUACACUUAACAAGAUUUACUUGUUAAUAUGGUUAAGAACAGAAAUAGCAAAACCAGUCCCAGAAAAUCUUGGGUCUGUUGAGUCAGACAUUCUUAUUCUGAUGCAAUCAGAAUCAGAGCACCUUGAAGCCCACUCUCCCAAGUCCACCAAGCCAAUCCUAGCUGCCCCCUAGAACCUGGAAGUUACACAUUCAGCAGAAUAAGACCAAAAAAAUUACACCAAAAGGCUAUGACUAAAUAGAGACAGGCAUCUGGAAUGGGCACACUUGGAUAUAUUAAGGUGUCACUGAGGUUCCUUUGGUUAUAACCCUGGCUGCUGGCUUUUCCUGAAGGAGAGGUGCCAGGAAACCCCUCAAACACCAGCGCUGCUCUCCUAUGGCCAGGAGGAGUAAGGAGCAGAACAUUGACAGUUCUGAGCCUUUAAGUCCGAGCCUUUAACAAGGCUUCCAUAUGCUCAUGAAGUUCACCUGUCCAAAGCUGUUACUGUCCCCAAGCAAUUUCUGACUUACAGACUUUUGUCCAUGAACGUUUGCUAGCUCAACCAGCUGAAAGGCUUGAAAAAAAGAGAUUUAAUUUGGAUUAGGAAUUGAGCUCGGUGUUUACUCCAAAUACCUUUUCUAAAUGAAGUGAAUGAUUUUUAACAGUAACAUUUUUCUUGUCUAGAGAUCAUCCAGCAGAACAGAAAAUCAUUCAGGAAAGCUUGAAAGUGAAGUUUGCCCUGAUAUCAAACUGAAUUUUAAUUCAUUUACAUGCAACAUAUAAUUGCAGAAGUUUGCCCACAUAAAAAUGGCUAACCAGAUUACUGGAGCAGCAACUCAUUGAAAGUUAAAUUGAUUUCUCAAAGAUAUCAAACAUCAUUUUCUAAACAAUAAAAAGACCAAAGCUUUCAUCUUCAGAAGUCACAUACGUCUCCAGAGAGAGAAAAGGACAUUUAUGAUGAGAAAGAUAAAGGGGUGCAGUAAGCCGUCAGAAGUUCUUUUGAUAUCAAAAAGAUUGAUGAUGUUUGACCUCAGCAGUGUGGAUCAAGUGCUCAAAUCCAUCACUACCACGGAAGGUUCAAGUUGGAUAUCAGGAAAAGGUUCUGCACAAGAAUACGCUAUGUUUCUAUGACUGUCUUCUGCCCUGCACUUUCAUUCUUCUUUAAAAUGGAGAUAGUCAUGGCUACAAUCGAGCACCUCUUAAAUGCAGUGAGGAACAGGGCUGUUUUAAGCUCAUUUUCUUUGAGGCUAACCACUCUGCUCUGGACUGCAUAAGUUUGACAAAGUUCAUUUUUCCUAAGCUUUUUCUGGAACUCUUCAUAAGGUAAAAACAGUGAAGCAUUACUCUGAGAAGCAUAUUCUCCUGCAUGUUAAUGUACUUCCUUAUAGCUCUGCCUUGUGAAGUUAAACAUGCGCUCAGACAGAGUCUGUGCUGAAGAAGCUUCCAAUAGCUCAUCAGCUCCAAGCAGACCUGGUGUCCAUUCCAUCUGACAAAGCACCAGCCAGGCAGUGCCUCCAUCGCAUGGCAUAUGAAACAUCUGCCCAGCGAGGCCAAACUGCUCCUUCUGCCUCUGUUAUUUUGACAGCUCUCCAAGCAAAAUUAACUGCUUUGUCACUGUAUUCAUUCCUAUUGCCCCACAGACUAAACCCAGCAAUGUUAUUCCCCGUCUCUCCAGCACUUUCCACGGCAGCGCACUGUUUGUUCCCACACUUUAUCAGCACGAGGCAGUGUUACGCCACUGCUGAUGCAAACAGCUGGUCAGUUUUUAGGACGGGUGUCUGUAUUAUCAUCUGCUGUUCCUGCACAAGGCGUAGUACAUCUGAUUGCCUUCACUCCGGCCGUCAGCAGAGCUGCCCAUCACGCAGCCCACACAAACUUCCACUAGAAACACUCCGACACAAAUCAGAUGGAAAAGCAUUAUGUCAUAAGACAGACUAAGACACAUCUUACAAUACGUAAGAUACCAUGUCUGAAUAAUGCAUUUAGCCAGAUGUUUUAUGGCCUAACUUUCAGGGAUCUUAAUACCAUCUGCAUGUAAAAUCUGCGUCUUGCAGGGAAGCCAUUAACCAGGCUAGAAUCUUACUGCACACUGCAAAAUAACAACAGUGCCUUCUGCAGUAAGUUGGAGCUUGGUAUCUGUGCAUGGUGGUGAUGGGUUGACAGUUGGACUAGAUGAUCAUAAUGGUCUUUUCCAACCUAUGACCUAUGGAAAUAUGGCUAACGGAGGAGAGGUGAGUCAGCAAAUGGGAUCAAAGUAACAACGGGAUGCUUCAGUACUUGCUAAAGUUGAAGCUCGCUAACGUGAAUUUACUUUCAAAUGACAACAGCUGAGGGAGCAGCCUAAAAGCUUUCUUUUUAAGCACAAAAUAAAAUAUUUACCUGAAAUGAGAACCUUGUUUCUACUUCCACGAAAGUUUCUGUUUCAAAACACUUCGUUAACAUAUUCAUUGUGAGAAUCAUCAUCUUCAUUCUACAUGUAAGGUCCUGAAAUAGACCUGUUUAAUUGAAACUUCACACAUUCGGAACUACUCUACAGGAGAUGGUUCCUUUAAAACAACAACAGAAAAAUCAAAAUAUAACAAAAAAAAAAAAAA